GCCGAGGUGGCGGAACUGGCAGACGCGCUGUCUUGAGGGGGCAGUACCCAAAAGGUGUGGAGGUUCAAGUCCUCUCCUCGGCA
rnacentral:tRNA from 1 species